rfam:Triticum aestivum genome assembly, contig: Triticum_aestivum_CS42_TGACv1_scaffold_226972_3B
UAUAUACUCCCUCCAUCCCAAAAUUCUUGUCUUAAAUUUGUCUAGAUAAGGAUGUUUCUAGUAUUAGAUACAUCCGUAUCUAGACUAAUCUAAGACAAGAAUUUUGCGACAGAGGGAGUAUUUU